UGGGGAAUAUUGCACAAUGGGCGCAAGCCUGAUGCAGCCAUGCCGCGUGUAUGAAGAAGGCCUUCGGGUUGUAAAGUACUUUCAGUCGGGAGGAAGGUGUCAAGGUUAAUAACCUUGGCAAUUGACGUUACCGACAGAAGAAGCACCGGCUAACUCCGUGCCAGUAGCCGCGGUAAUACGGAGGGUGCAAGCGUUAAUCGGAAUUACUGGGCGUAAAGCGCACGCAGGCGGUUGAUUGAGUCAGAUGUGAAAUCCCCGGGCUUAACCCGGGAAUUGCAUCUGAUACUGGUCAGCUAGAGUCUUGUAGAGGGGGGUAGAAUUCCAUGUGUAGCGGUGAAAUGCGUAGAGAUGUGGAGGAAUACCGGUGGCGAAGGCGGCCCCCUGGACAAAGACUGACGCUCAGGUGCGAAAGCGUGGGGAGCAAACAGG
rnacentral:rRNA from 1 species